AGGUUUCUUUCUCCUUGGUAGAUUCUCUAGGGCAGCCCUGUGGAUUGGGACCACCUCUUUCAUGAUUCUGGUUCUUCCUGUCGUCUUUGAAACCGAAAAACUGCAGAUGGAGCAACAGCAGCAGCUGCAGCAGCGACAGAUCCUCCUUGGACCCAACACAGGGCUCUCAGGGGGAAUGCCAGGGGCCCUGCCUCCGCUAUCUGGAAAAAUCUAAUUUGCGGAAGCUGAGUUGGAUUCAUAUCAAGUGGGAAGACCUUGCGAUUAUGAUACAUUGAACUGUUGAUUUGUUGGGCCAGGGCAUUUUUUGUUUUUAUUUUUGGUUCUCCUUUGGGACAUUGACCUGUUCAUAACAAGGGAGGGGAAGCCCCCCUCUGGACCUGAUGAUGGCUCCUGUCUGCAUCCCCCUCUCCUUUAGAAAUCAUGAGUAUUUCCUUUUAUUCAAUCACUAUGCCAUAACCAGUUACAGACUUGGAUUGGGGGAGCUCCUCUGCCAGCUUCUUGCUCCCACAGAACACCCUGGGGCACAGGUCAGGCUUUGAAAAGCAGCAGUCAGACACAACAAAUGCUUUCGUGCCUGAUUUGGAGCUGAAGGACAGUGGUGGCAGAAGAGUGACUUUCCCAGCAGAGGAAGGAGGGGUGCAAUCAGUACCCCAUGGAAAAUACUCUUUGGGAAGAUGCGUCUGCAGAAACACUUUCACUGCAGCUGUGUGUGUGUGAGAACCGAGGGAGCAGCAGGCCAGGUUUGAGACGAUCACAUCCACGCAGAUUCUCUGCCUCAUAAAGUAGAACAGACAUCAGCUGCGUAUUUUUUUGUAUGGAAUAUUAAAUAAAUCCAACCUGAGCAGUGUGGUUUUAAU